rnacentral:lncRNA from 1 species
AAUUAUUUUAAAAUGUGUUUAGCGAAACCCUUCCCACACUUAAGUUUCUUUUUUUUUUAAGGGAAAUAAAUAUGUAAGGUGAUAGUUCUGUAUCUCAGCUUCUCUGAGAACUCUGGGCUAUUGCUUUUUUUUAGCCACUUUUGUCCUUUUGUGUUUAUUAUUGGUAGAAUUGUGUUUUAGAUUAUAAAUCUUCCUUGAUAACAUUACAAAUUCAAUCAAAACUUCUUGCUUAAUAAUUGUCGUAUAAAUUUGAAUUAGAGACCCAGGUGGAUGAAUGCCUGGGCAAACCAUGUGAAACCUGGGUGGGUUUUGCACUUAAGAGUUGGUAAAAUUGAUCUCUUGAGUUUAGGUAACUGUAUAGUUCAAGGAAUGGGCAAGAAAUCCAUCCUUAGACUGAUAAAAGGGAAAUUUUUGACCUAAGAACUCUGAAACAACAUUGUUUUCAGUCUACCCUGGAUUGCUUUCUCGUAGGCCACAGUCCAACUAUCUUAAGGUUUUUUGCUGUGUAAACUUCAACCAGCCAACAAGCCAAUGAAAAAGCAAGCUUUGGUCUUGUUUGUUUCUGGGAAGGGUUUUAUUUCAUUACUCUGAU